rnacentral:rRNA from 1 species
AGCGAACGCUGGCGGCAGGCCUAACACAUGCAAGUCGAACGAACUCUUCGGAGUUAGUGGCGGACGGGUGAGUAACACGUGGGAGCGUGCCUUUAGGUUCGGAAUAACUCAGGGAAACUUGUGCUAAUACCGAAUGUGCCCUUCGGGGGAAAGAUUUAUCGCCUUUAGAGCGGCCCGCGUCUGAUUUGCUAGGUGGUGAGGUAAAGGCUCACCAAGGCGACGAUCAGUAGCUGGUCUGAGAGGAUGAUCAGCCACAUUGGGACUGAGACACGGCCCAAACUCCUACGGGAGGCAGCAGUGGGGAAUCUUGCGCAAUGGGCGAAAGCCUGACGCAGCCAUGCCGCGUGAAUGAUGAAGGUCUUAGGAUUGUAAAAUUCUUUCACCGGGGACGAUAAUGACGGUACCCGGAGAAGAAGCCCCGGCUAACUUCGUGCCAGCCGCCGCCGUAA